rnacentral:tRNA from 1 species
GGCCUCUUAGCUCAGUUGUUUAGAGCGGCGGCUGUACUGAAGCCUUCCCUCUGUUGGUGUGGGAUCGAAUCCCACCGAAGCCG